rnacentral:rRNA from 1 species
UGCCAGCAGCCGCGGUAAUACGGAGGGUGCAAGCGUUAAUCGGAAUUACUGGGCGUAAAGCGCGCGCAGGCGGUUCGGUAAGUCGGGUGUGAAAAUCCAGGGCUCAACCCUGGGACGCCACCCGAUACUGCUGUGACUAGAGUCCGGUAGAGGAGCGUGGAAUUUCUGGUGUAGCGGUGAAAUGCGCAGAUAUCAGAAGGAACACCAGCGGCGAAGGCGGCGCUCUGGGCCGGUACUGACGCUGAGGAGCGAAAGCGUGGGGAGCAAACAGGAUUAGAUA